rnacentral:rRNA from 1 species
UACGGAGGAUCCGAGCGUUAUCCGGAUUUAUUGGGUUUAAAGGGUGCGCAGGCGGCCAUUUAAGUCAGCGGUUAAAUCGUGGGGCUCAACCCCAUUCUGCCGUUGAUACUGGGUGGCUUGAUUGCGGUCGAGGUUGGCGGAAUUCGUUGUGUAGCGGUGAAAUGCAUAGAUAUGACGAAGAACACCGAUUGCGUAGGCAGCUGACCAGACCGCAAAUGACGCUCAUGCACGAAAGUGCGGGGAUCGAACAGGAUUAGAUACCCUGGUAGUCCGCACAGUAAACGAUGAAUACUUGUUUUCGGCGAUAUAAUGUCGGAGGCAAAGCGAAAGCGAUAAGUAUUCCACCUGGGGAGUACGCCGGCAACGGUGAAACUCAAAUGAAUUGACGGGG